UACGGGGGGGGUAAGCGUUGUUCGGAAUUACUGGGCGUAAAGGGCUCGUAGGCGGCCAACUAAGUCAGACGUGAAAUCCCUCAGCUUAACUGGGGAACUGCGUCUGAUACUGGAUGGCUUGGAUUUGGGAGAGGGAUGCGGAAUUCCAGGUGUAGCGGUGAAAUGCGUAGAUAUCUGGAGGAAUACCGGUGGCGAAGGCGGCAUCCUGGACCGACAUUGACGCUGAUGAGCGAAAGCUAGGGGAGCAAACGGG
rnacentral:rRNA from 1 species